CCAAUAGCGUAUAUUAAAGUUGUUGCAGUUAAAAAGCUCGUAGUUGAACUUCGGGAUCAAUGGGUUGGUCAUGCCCUCGGUAUGUACUGAUUUCAUUGGUUCUCACCUUCUAAGGAACCAUGAUGUCAUUCGUUUGAUGUUGUGGGGAAUUAGGACUGUUACCUUGAAAAAAUUAGAGUGUUUAAAGCAGGCUAACGUUUGAAUACAUUAGCAUGGAAUAAUGAAAUAGGACAUCCGAUUCUAUUUUGUUGGUUUUUAGGAUCGAUGUAAUGAUUAAUAGGGUUAGUUGGAGGCAUUAGUAUUCAAUUGUCAGAGGUGAAAUUCUUGGAUUUAUUGAAGACUAACUACUGCGAAAGCAUUUGCCAAGGAUGUUUUCAUUAAUCAAGAACGAAAGUUAGAGGAUCGAAGACGAUCAGAUACCGUCGUAGUCUUAACCAUAAACUAUGCCGACUAGGGAUCGGAUGAUGCUUAUUUUUAAUGACUCAUUCGGCACCUUACG
rnacentral:rRNA from 1 species